CUUCUCUCAGGGUCACACCUGGAGAGUUUCCAGUACUCUACCAGUCACGACUACAGGAGGGAGAGUCAAGCAAAGGCCUACCCAUUCCAUUCCUGGCUUGGGCAGUGGCUAGCGAGUGGAAGGCAAUCUGCUACAAUU
rnacentral:snoRNA from 1 species